UAUGGCCAUAUCCCAUUGAAACACCAGUUCUUAUAUGAUCACCAAAGGUAAGCAACAUUGAGCCUGGUCAGUACCUAGAUAUGUGACUGCUUGGGAAUACCACGUGAUGUAAG